rnacentral:rRNA from 1 species
CCUACGGGUGGCAGCAGUGGGGGAUAUUGCACAAUGGGGGAAACCCUGAUGCAGCGACGCCGCGUGGGCGAAGAAGUAUUUCGGUAUGUAAAGCUCUAUCAGCAGGGAAGAAGAAAUGGCGGUACCUGAGUAAGAAGCACCGGCUAACUACGUGCCAGCAGCCGCGGUAAUACGUAUGGUGCAAGCGUUAUCCGGAUUUACUGGGUGUAAAGGGAGCGCAGGCGGCACGGCGAGCCUGAUGUGAAAGCCCGGGGCGCAACCGCGGGACUGCAUUGGGAACUGCCGGGCUGGAGUGCAGGAGAGGUAGGCGGAAUGCCUGGUGUAGCGGUGAAAUGCGUAGAUAUUAGGAGGAACACCAGUGGCGAAGGCGGCUUACUGGACGGUGACUGACGCUGAGGCUCGAAAGCGUGGGGAGCAAACAGGAUUAGAUACCCUUGUAGUC